rnacentral:lncRNA from 1 species
CAGAUGGCUAGAGGCAGAGCGUUUGAUUCUGACGCGUCUGGUAGUGGUUCGCGUGGAGGUCGUGGCCUUGUACGCAGUGCUCGUGGACGAGGAGGGUCGAUCCCUCAUCCUUCGUCAGGUACGUCUGGGGCUUCGUCAUCUGCUCAGCGACCAGUACUACCGCCAUCACAUCCUUCUUCAGGUACGUCUGGGGCUUCAUCCUCUGCUCAGCGUCCAGUACUGCCGCCAUCACAGC